AAUUCUCAAUCCCCUUUGGUUUUGUUACUGGUUGGGGUUUGGAUAGUGGAGGUUGUUGCUGGCCUAGUUUCAAGGUCAGCUCCUCUGAAAUGCAUUAGCGGAACCCAUUUGCAAUCUGCUACAGGUGUGAUAAUUAUCUGCACCUAGGGUUGCUCUGUGUCUUGUUCAGCUACUAACUGUCCACAAGGACAAAUUCAUUAUUGAACCU
rnacentral:misc_RNA from 1 species